rnacentral:lncRNA from 1 species
AUUUAAAACACAGUCCUAAUUGAUCUCAGCUGCAACUCUUCAAGUGCUGCCAAUCUGCCUGUGAGUGCCCAAGCGCAGGCAGCUGGAAAGCAGGAGCGGUCCCGCAUGAGGUGAUUGCUCACCAAGUAUUACAGAGGAGAUCUGGGUCAGGGAUGAGCAGAAUUCCAUUCUCAGAGGUUGCACUUAAGGGCUGAACUGUGAGAUAAUCGCUUUUUCUUCUGCCAUCCUCCUUAUUCAGUGUGUCCUACAGACGAGUGCCUGCCUCUUUCAUUACCGUUUGAUGUGGAUCCAGCAAGAGUAGCAGCCCUGCAAAGCAACCGCAGUUUGCUUGGUUCUCUACCACUGAGGAGGGAAGGUCUGAAAGGAGAAGUAAGAACCUCAGGCUGGCUGAAUGAAAUUUUCCCUAAAAGAUUACUCCAGUGCUAA